GAUGAACGCUAGCGGGAGGCUUAACACAUGCAAGUCGAGGGGCAGCAUAGGGUAGCAAUACUCUGAUGGCGACCGGCAAACGGGUGAGUAACGCGUAUGCAACCUACCCUGUACAGGGGGAUAACCCGGAGAAAUUCGGACUAAUAUCCCGUAAUAAUAUCCGGAGGCAUCUUUGGAUAUUUAAAGUUCCGACGGUACGGGAUGGGCAUGCGUAACAUUAGCUGGUUGGUAAGGUAACGGCUUACCAAGGCUAUGAUGUUUAGGGGUCCUGAGAGGGUGGUCCCCCACACUGGUACUGAGACACGGACCAGACUCCUACGGGAGGCAGCAGUGAGGAAUAUUGGUCAAUGGGCGCAAGCCUGAACCAGCCAUCCCGCGUGCAGGAAGACGGCCCUAUGGGUUGUAAACUGCUUUUCCAGGGAGAGAAACUUACGCACGUGUUGCGUGACUGACGGUACCCUGGGAAUAAGCAUCGGCUAACUCCGUGCCAGCAGCCGCGGUAAUCACGAGAAUA
rnacentral:rRNA from 1 species